GCCAGGCGCGGUGGCUCACGCCUGUAAUCCCAGCACUUUGGGAGGCCGAGGCAGGUGGAUCGCCUGAGGUCAGGAGUUCGAGACCAGCCUGACCAACAUGGUGAAACCCUGUCUCUA
rnacentral:SRP_RNA from 1 species